rnacentral:rRNA from 1 species
AUGAAGGUGCUGGUCGCGCUGGACGACAGCGGCGGGAGCCACCACGCGCUAGACUGGGUGCUACGCUGCCUUUUCCCCGUCGGCGAUCAGCCGGCGACGGAAGAGGCCCGGCCUGAUCUGGUGCUCGUCCACGCGCUGGAGCCGCUCCACCACGCCAUGUGCCCGGUCGGCGGGACAGGGUCCGCGGUGUACGGCGCGCCGUCGAUCAUGCAGUCGGUGCGAGCGGCGCGGAAGGAAAGCGCGCGCAACCUGCUCGACAGGGCCAAGCGGGUCUGCCACACACGAGGGGUGAGCGCGGCGGCGGUGCUGGUGGAGGGGGAGUCCAGGGAGGCGCUGUACCGCGCCGCGGAGGACGCGGGCGCCGGCCUGCUCGUCGUGGGCAGCCGUGGGCUCGGCGCCGUCGGGAGGGCGUUCCUGGGGAGCGUGAGCGACUACUGCGUGCACCACGCGAGGUGCCCCGUCAUGGUGGUCCCGCCGCCGCCCGUCGACAAGGAUGGCCAGCGGAUGAGAUCAUCUCCAAUCAGAUGCCAGUCACCAUGUUUUCAACAGGGGUGCUUAAUGGCCGAAUGA